AAUUCAAGAGAAAUUAUUGGAUUUCAAGGAAUCAAGCAAGUAAAGGUGAUGAGCCCUCUGAUAAGGGUAAAGAUAUCGUACCCAAAGAUCAAGAAUAGAAGUACUCCAAACUCCCGUUAAAGCUCAGGAAAAUCUGUAGACCGCCGAUUUUGUCGAGGGUUUGUUGUCAGAUUCGCACCUUUAGAAAUCGCAGGUUUACAGUCGUGUUUAUCUUGGUUAUUUUGGGGGCCCACAUGUCAUUGUAGAAUAUUUUGUAUACUUGGCUGCGUGUGCCACUGUAUGUAUAAAUUUAUUUUGC